GGCUGGUCUGAAGGUAGUGAGUUAUCUCACGUGAUUGUUCACAGUCAGUUACAGAUUGAACUCCUUGUUCUACUACUUUCCCCCCUCCUCACUACUGCACUUAACUAGCCUUAA
rnacentral:Y_RNA from 1 species